rnacentral:lncRNA from 1 species
ACACUUUCGGAGAACGGUAUAUAAGACCUACAGUUUUGACGCUGACAACAAUGUUGCCCAUGACGUGUUUUAUUCAGAUCUUGGAAAUUGUCAGUACAUCCAAUCAGCCCUAGACCGUGGGUUGUAGAAUUUUGGCCAUGCACUCCGGGAUGCAUGAGUGAUUUCUUUCCUAAACGUGAACCAUUGGUGUCAUUAUCUCAUGGUAUGAUGUGUACAGGCAUUGCCAGUCUGGUAAGAGUACAGAUGCCAUCCGUACCGUUGACCCACGAUGACUAUCACCAAGUAGAUAGGAUAUCAAACUUUUCUCAAGGAUGAUUACAAAAGGAAGAUAGAACAGCCGACAGCUCAGUGUUGCGCAACCAUUUUGUAAGCAGCUGCAAGAACUCAUGUGGGUCUACCCAAUGAGUCCACCUUCCAAGGCAAUAUCAUAUUUACAGGGCUCUGAAUGUUAAGAAUGACGCACAAUGGUGCACUGUCAGACCCAACAUGCAAGCGGGAUAGAGGACUCCACUGAGCCAGAACUUUGGUUUAAUCUUCUCUUUCAGCCAAACCCGCGCAAGAAACCACAGGAUCAAUGCACAGCAGCACCAGACCACUCAACAUGCAUUGUACAAGCAUCCUCUCGCAUCCUUCUUUCACCAAAAUGUACAUCUCACGAAAGCAUCUUCUCGAUACAUCCUUUUGCCAAGUCUCAACACGCAUC